CGGGUAACGGCCACCAAGACGACGAUCAGUAGCCGACCUGAGAGGGUGACCGGCCACAUUGGGACUGAGACACGGCCCAGACUCCUACGGGAGGCAGCAGUGGGGAAUAUUGCACAAUGGGGGAAACCCUGAUGCAGCAGCGCCGCGUGAAGGAAGACGGUUUUCGGAUUGUAAACUUCUGUUCUUAGUGAAGAUAGUGACGGUAGCUAAGGAGCAAGCCACGGCUAACUAC
rnacentral:rRNA from 1 species